rnacentral:rRNA from 1 species
GAUUGGCUCAGGAUGAACGCUAGCUACAGGCUUAACACAUGCAAGUCGAGGGGCAGCAUGAACUUAGCUUGCUAAGUUUGAUGGCGACCGGCGCACGGGUGAGUAACACGUAUCCAACCUGCCGAUGACUCGGGGAUAGCCUUUCGAAAGAAAGAUUAAUACCCGAUGGCAUAGUUCUUCCGCAUGGUGGAACUAUUAAAGAAUUUCGGUCAUCGAUGGGGAUGCGUUCCAUUAGGUUGUUGGG